UUUCCGAAUGGGGAAACCCAGUGUGACUCGUCACACUAUCAUUAACUGAAUCCAUAGGUUAAUGAGGCGAACCGGGGGAACUGAAACAUCUAAGUACCCCGAGGAAAAGAAAUCAACCGAGAUUCCCCCAGUAGCGGCGAGCGAACGGGGAGGAGCCCAGAGCCUGAAUCAGCAUGUGUGUUAGUGGAAGCGUCUGGAAAGGCGCGCGAUACAGGGUGACAGCCCCGUACACAAAAGCGCAUGUGCUGUGAGCUCGAUGAGUAGGGCGGGACACGUGGUAUCCUGUCUGAAUAUGGGGGGACCAUCCUCCAAGGCUAAAUACUCCUGACUGACCGAUAGUGAACCAGUACCGUGAGGGAAAGGCGAAAAGAACCCCGGCGAGGGGAGUGAAAAAGAACCUGAAACCGU
rnacentral:rRNA from 3 species